rnacentral:rRNA from 1 species
UACGUAGGGUGCAGGCGUUAAUCGGAAUUACUGGGCGUAAAGCGUGCGCAGGCGGCCUCUUAAGUCAGAUGUGAAAUCCCCGGGCUUAACCUGGGAACUGCGUUCGAAACUGGGAGGCUUGAGUGUGGAAGAGGGGGGUGGAAUUCCAGGUGUAGCAGUGAAAUGCGUAGAGAUCUGGAGGAACACCGAUGGCGAAGGCAGCCCCCUGGGCUGACACUGACGCUCAUGCACGAAAGCGUGGGGAGCAAACAGG